GUAACAAAUUGCUGUAGUUUCUACAGCAAAAUUUUACAGGAAAUUCCUGUUUUAACAUUUUACAAGAUUUUAGUGUAGUUCACAAUGCAUUAUGGGUAAAAGAAAGUAUUACAGCUGUUAACAGUAUAUUUUCAUUUAAACUGUAAUUGAAUUUACAGGCAGGAGGUGUUGCCACUGUAUAUCAUAUGUUUUUACAAAAAUUAAUUGUGAAAUGGCAUCAUGGGAUUGCGUGGGUGUAUUUACGUUUGAAAUGGACUUGAACACUGAAGAGUCAUCAUUCAAAAUUGUUGGUAAGUUCACGUAAAUCAUUCAAAUAUAGUACAGUAUUAAACUAAUAUAGUACUAUUAUGGUCAUUUAAAUAGUGAUAUCUGGUAUGCGACCGCUAUACCAGAUAUUAUUAACAUAACAGAUGUUAAUAAUUUGUAUUUCACAACAGCGUGUCAUUAAGACAUGUAGCAAAAUAUAAAAUUAAAUUCUUUACAUUAUUUUAAAUGUUACAUUUGGUAGUUAUGUGUCAUUAACUUUAUAACGUUUCAGAUGUUUGUUUCAGGCAUGAGCGAGGCAGCAAAAAGCGCGAGGGGUCCGUAACGGCUGGACUGCAUGGUGGCAAAGAGUGGUGGUGAGACGAAUCUUCGAACUUACAGGCACGAGACAGCAGAGAUUGCAACUCUUAACCUGACUGGUGGUGUGAGACAAAUGAGAAAAGAUUAUUUUUAGGUGAAAUCCUCAAUGCAACUUAGUGGAUGCUGAGUAUGGACGGUCAGGUGGUUGUGAGUCCACACCCCAACCUUGUGGCUGGAUUUGCAGCUUUGUUCGCAUCAUACUACAACUUCAACCUGGUUUAUUAGGAGGAGGCAUCCUCCACACUUGAAUUUGUUCUAAGAUGUUUUGUUGGAAUCACACCUACCACUGGCAUCAAGACAGCCAAAACAAAGGUUGGAGGCAAAAAAGUGGAAACGCCUCUGAGAAGAGAAACAACACCAUCAACCCUCAUGUGUGUACUCUUUUCAGAAAAUUAUUGGACUUUGAAUGGUUACGCAUGUAA